UACAUUAUUUUACAAACCCAAUUUGUAAGGAAUGUCACUGUCUAAGAGAAAAUUUCUUUGGAUUCUUAGUUAUUUAUUUAAGAUAAUUUUUUUGUUAUUAGUGUUAUGAAUUAUCUCAAUGUUUUUAUUUUUAGUAUUCAAACCAAAUGAUGAUGUAAAUUUGUUAGCAUUGCACAUUAUUGCUCAGAAAAGCCUGUGUUCAUCGAUCUGAAGCUAGGUUUCAAGCCAUCACCAGAUGUGUAAAAAUUUCCGAGAAUGGCGUAGAUCAAUACCAGAUCUACUAAAAGUCAAGGAAAGAAAUAUCCGGGAACUCUGAAGCAAUUGCAGCUGUUGAAAGAAUGCAGUUUAUUCAUAAAUUCGGUUGUAAUCUAAGGUUUAUGAUUCGUGGAAUCUGUGCAGCAUUUUGCCUUAAUAAAGCAACUAUUAAAAUGC